rnacentral:tRNA from 1 species
AGAGACUUAGGUUAAACAAACCAAGAGCCUUCAAAGCCCUAAACAGAGAUACUCACCCUCUAGCCUCUG